rnacentral:tRNA from 1 species
AGCCUAUUACCUCAGUUGGUUAGAGCGUUAUGAUAAUAACGCGAACGUCGCAAGUUCGAGACUUGCAUAGGCCA